rnacentral:rRNA from 1 species
GAAACGGUGGCUAAUACCGCAUAACGUCGCAAGACCAAAGAGGGGGACCUUCGGGCCUCUUGCCAUCAGAUGUGCCCAGAUGGGAUUAGCUUGUUGGUGAGGUAACGGCUCACCAAGGCGACGAUCCCUAGCUGGUCUGAGAGGAUGACCAGCCACACUGGAACUGAGACACGGUCCAGACUCCUACGGGAGGCAGCAGUGGGGAAUAUUGCACAAUGGGCGCAAGCCUGAUGCAGCCAUGCCGCGUGUAUGAAGAAGGCCUUCGGGUUGUAAAGUACUUUCAGCGGGGAGGAAGGUGUUGUGGUUAAUAACCGCAGCAAUUGACGUUACCCGCAGAAGAAGCACCGGCUAACUCCGUGCCAGCAGCCGCGGUAAUACGGAGGGUGCAAGCGUUAAUCGGAAUUACUGGGCGUAAAGCGCACGCAGGCGGUCUGUCAAGUCGGAUGUGAAAUCCCCGGGCUCAACCUGGGAACUGCAUUCGAAACUGGCAGGC